rnacentral:rRNA from 1 species
UGGGGAAUAUUGGACAAUGGGCGCAAGCCUGAUCCAGCCAUGCCGCGUGUGUGAAGAAGGCCUUCGGGUUGUAAAGCACUUUUGUCCGGAAAGAAAAGCACUGGGUUAAUACCCUGGUGUCAUGACGUUACCGGAAGAAUAAGCACCGGCUAACUUCGUGCCAGCAGCCGCGGUAAUACGAAGGGUGCAAGCGUUACUCGGAAUUACUGGGCGUAAAGCGUGCGUAGGCGGUUUGUUAAGUCUGAUGUGAAAGCCCUGGGCUCAACCUGGGAAUGGCAUUGGAUACUGGCAACCUAGAAUGUGGUAGAGGGUGGCGGAAUUCCCGGUGUAGCAGUGAAAUGCGUAGAUAUCGGGAGGAACAUCCGUGGCGAAGGCGGCCACCUGGACCAACAUUGACGCUGAGGCACGAAAGCGUGGGGAGCAAA